UAUUAGUAGGAGCAAGUUCAGGUCUG
rnacentral:piRNA from 1 species